GGGCGUCGACGUCGGCCGGCCGGCCGGCGCGCCACCGGGUUUCGCGUUCGCUGGGCCUGGGACUGCCCGCGGUCGACCGGGACCCAGUCCUGCUGUAAAAGAGGAAGCUGAGCAGAAUCACGCGGCUGGCACGAACUUGCACCGGACAGACGCCGUCUACCGGCUCUACACGGGUCCAGAUGGGCUGCAUGCCUGCAUUAUAGCUACGUUCUGACUUCUGAAAAUUCUGAUCGCCACGGAAGAUUAAGAAAUCUAUCUGUCAGAACAACAGACAGUAUCACCGAUCGGAAUGAUAUUGUAUCACAUCGGUCAUUGUGCCCAUGUGGAAUAGCGUACGUAUGGCCCAGUGAAUAACUACAUUGUAAUUCUGUUCUUGAUUCUGAUAGCAGUCGCCUCAUCGAUGUGGUGUUGACCAUGCAACAACAAUGUCCAUGUGUAGUUAAUGUCUAAUGUUGGUAGGUACGUACUGAUGAAAAUGUAUAUGCUUGCAGAGUAAAACAAUAAAAAUAAUUCACGGUGCA